UACGUAGGGUGCAAGCGUUAAUCGGAAUUACUGGGCGUAAAGCGCACGUAGGCGGUCUGUCAAGUCGGAUGUGAAAUCCCCGGGCUCAACCUGGGAACUGCAUUCGAAACUGGCAGGCUAGAGUCUUGUAGAGGGGGGUAGAAUUCCAGGUGUAGCGGUGAAAUGCGUAGAGAUCUGGAGGAAUACCGGUGGCGAAGGCGGCCCCCUGGACAAAGACUGACGCUCAGGUGCGAAAGCGUGGGGAGCAAACAGG
rnacentral:rRNA from 1 species